CUACUCGUACUAAUUUCAUAAGGCCCUGUUACUAACAUUAUAUGGAUGUAAUGUUCCGAAAUAAAUGUUUAUUAUUA